AACGAACGCUGGCGGCGCGCCUAACACAUGCAAGUCGAACGAGAAUCCGGGGCAACCCGGUAGUAAAGUGGCAAACGGGUGAGGAAUGCAUGGGUAACCUACCCUUGAGAAGGGAAUAACCCGCCGAAAGGUGAGCUAAUACCCUAUACGCUCUGCUCUUCAUGGAAAGCAAAGGAAAGUCAAGCCGUGGGCUUGGCACUCAAGGAGGGGCUCAUGUCCUAUCAGCUUGUUGGUGGGGUAACGGCCUACCAAGGCUACGACGGGUAGCUGGUCUGAGAGGAUGAUCAGCCACACUGGCACUGAGAUACGGGCCAGACUCCUACGGGAGGCAGCAGUGAGGAAUGUUGCGCAAUGGGCGAAAGCCUGACGCAGCGACGCCGCGUGGGGGAUGAAGGUUUUCGGAUUGUAAACCCCUUUUGUGAGGAAAGAUAAAGUGGGUCACCACUUAGACGGUACCUCAAGAAAAAGCCACGGCUAACUUCGUGCCAGCAGCCGCGGUAAUACGAAGGUGGCGAGCGUUGUUCGGAUUUACUGGGCGUAAAGAGCACGUAGGCGGUUGGGUAAGCCUCUUGGGAAAUCUCCCGGCUUAACCGGGAAAGGUCGAGGGGAACUAUCAGCUAGAG
rnacentral:rRNA from 1 species